GCGAUGAAGUCGCGAGUUCGCAAGUUACGAAGUUGCGCGCCGAAAAGAGUGAGCGGCUAGUGGCGGCACCACCGCAAGCGAUUGGUGCACGAGUUGAAGGGAAAACGCCCGCGUCGAUGAAACAUAUUCGCAAGACGCUAAUUUUUCAGAGGCAAACUGGCGAACGUGUGUCCCCCACCACCCACCACCGUAUGACAGUGACCCAAAUGGAGCGCCGCCGCAGUCAGUUCCGUGAGCGCGCGCAAGGCUGAACGACGUUAGUGCGCGCGCGCCGCCAGGCACGCGAGCUCCUAUUCGCUGUCGUUUUAGUGUGAUUUACGAUUGGAUAUUACUGUGCACAUUGCAGUGAGUGAACACCGGCCGGAUCGCCAUGCUUUCAUGACCCGUGUGGAUGCUGAAUCCCUCCUCCCCCUUAGAUUUAAUGAAACUCGUACAAACGGUGUGGUUGCAUCAGGGAUAAAGAAGGUAGACAAACUAUAUUAUGAACCUAACCUAAACUCGACUUAGUCAAUGAAAGCCAUAUGUAAUAGGUGUCAGCUCUUUUUAGCACAAUGCUAUAUAUAAGUCGUACUGAUUCUGAAUCAUAAUGAAGAAACGACGGACGGAAGGACAUGGACGAGGUUAUGCCGAAUUCUGGGAAGCCAUAGGACGAAGACGAGCGACAGCAGGGUUAACGAUUCCACACCGCACUGCGCUAACACAAAGCGAAUUGUUUCCAGAAAUAUUGACACUAACAUCCCACACGCGUUUAUUUAUACCUAGGUACAUACUACACUACGUAAAGACGGCGACCUAGUCUAAUCUGUCCAUUUUUUUAUCCGAUUUUCAGCCUUAUGAUUUGACAGGAAAGUUGAAAAUCUAUUAUACUCCUCGGAGUAGUUUGCUGCGAACUCUACAUAAAUAUAUCUCAUCUUUUAAUAUUAACUAGGUUUGAUAUUUAGAAACGUGUUAAAAAUCACACACACAUAACUAAAAAAACCUAUUUAUGCAUAUAGAAGCUAUAAAAGAGAAGCAAAGAAACGAAGAAAUUAAAUGACCGGUGAAUUUGUUAUCUUUACCCUAUCCAUAGCGCUAUCUUAAUUAAUGACUGCCAUCGCGCCUUUACGAAUAUUAAUAACGAUAAUGUUAUGUAUUAUUUGCAAAUGAGUGGCCCACAUGGCCUAAACCAAUUACUAAUAGCCUGACUUGUGAUAAAUAUUGCUAGCUCCAUGACGCGGCGUCGUUCGAGCCAAUGUGAUUCAUAAUUCCCGGAUGCACGCAUAAUAAAUAUUAAUGAAUUAAUUUGAGGCUAGUUCUAGCAAUAAAUAAUAAUGUAAGUAACUAAGUUAGUGGCACUGUCGGGCUCCAGUUUCUUGCUUACGUAAUGAUUUUAUUUAUAAUUCGAGUUCAUGUAGAUUGAUGCAUUAAAAAUUAUAUUUAUUUAGUUAUUUAGCAGUAUUUUCAACUAAAUGUAGUUCCUAAUUAAUUCAAGUAGAAAAUUACAUCAAUUAAUCUAUUCCAUUCCAAGUGAAUUAAUUCUACAGUGCAUUUGAUUUCUCUAGGAAAUCCAGCCGCGGCCGCGGGUCUUCUUCAAUCUAAAACCAAAUCGUAGUUGAAUGUCAAUAAGAUGUCGAUCGGCAUCAUUGAAUGUUCUCAAAUGAAACGAGCGAGGGUCAACUGAGCGGCGAGAUGAUAAAAACUGGCGUAAAAUAUAAUGGCGUCGGGCUAGGUAUUGUGAUGACGCGGUGCUCGCCGGGUCAAUGACACCUGACUCAUGUCCUGUGCCGCACUCGCCGAAGACAUUCGCUGUGUAAAUGAUAAGUAGCGAAAUAUUAUUUGAAAUACACUCAAGUCUUAACCAGCUACUCACAUUUUAAAACUUUUUUUAUCAACCAACAACAGGUACCUAGAACUCUAUUUCGACAGACUGUCAUCAUUCAUGUAUAUUUGAAAUAUUAAUUAUAUUAACCUAUCCUUGGUAAAGAAUGACUAACGAUAUAAUUUUCUUCGCCACAUUAAACACAGCGGCGAUCACAAUAAACUAUGGAAUACUCGUUUUAUUAACCACAAAUCAUAUUAGAGGUUAAUACACUAGAAGUAUUCCGGACAGCAAUUAAUAAGGAGAUACUCGGAAGUGAAGUGCAUAAAAUAUAUUAAUCACAAUGCGACCUCAUUCCACAAAGCACUGACCUGACGACAGUUAUGAAAUAGAGGUAAUAUUCAAGAGAUAAAUACAAGGAAAAUAAUGGAUCUAUUUAUAUUCCUUGGUAUAGACUGCUUGACAGAAAUGAGUCAUAGUUUAGUUCAGAAACUCACCCUGCAGCUUUCGUUUUAGAGGUCAUCCAUAUUAUUAUUUGUAUUGACCGAACUUGUCUCAACUUGUUUGUUUGAAUAAAACGAGGCCGAUUCUUUAAAACUGUAAACAUUACCAGAUCCGUUAUAUAUUAUUCAUUUCAAUAUGACAUAUUAUGUCGCCAGAGUACAUGAAGCUGGUUCAGUGUUCGUUUAAACGAACACGUAGCGACAUGUUUGGGGUCUCCUUAAAUCUUCUGUCCCGCUCGUUUUAAGGCGUGUCGUAGCAAUGGAAAUACUUUCAAUAACUAAGUUAAAAAUUGAGUACUUAUCCCAUUGAAAUAUGAUGUCAUGUUUAUUACCCAUGACUACUAAUGUCCUUUUACUUUCAAGUAAAUAUGUGAGUCAACAGUAAGUAAUGUCAUCGUGGAAAACCUGUGGUCUUUCCAGGGAUAUUUCAAAUUAAAAUUCCCAUUACUAAAUACCAUCUAUACUUGACUCAUUACUAACAUUAUCAAUAAAUAAUUAUUUAUGAGCAAAAUCUUGAAAAUUUUGUGUUAAACCUUGAAAAACAUCAUUAAUAACGAUAUCCAUCAAACAAUCUUCAACAAAAACUGGUUCCAUAAAUUGCACCGUCUCAAAAAUGAUUAUAUUAAUUAAAUCCUAAUCAUGGACCCAGGAAUUGUGAAGGCAAGCGUCGAACCUCCGGCCCACAGACUAUAUUAGGCAGGAUCAGUCGAACCGGACCGCCUCUGAUUAAUUCAGACUAAAAAACGAAAAUAUGUGGACCGCAAAUUAUAUUUCCGAUUGCAAUAAUGCAUUGCAAAACAAAAUAAAACUUGUUUCAAUUUUUUAUACUCGAUAACCAUUUAUAAUACAAAAAAAUAAUUGUUAAAUUGCUUUUUAACUGUGUCUGAAUGUAUACUACUAUUAAUUCACCUUUCAAGUAACUACUUCAGUUUUUAUUAAGAAAGGAAUUCUGACGCAAUUUUGUUUUCACAACAUUCACCUCAGGCACAGGUAUUUCUAUUGUGCCUUUAUUAUAAUAAAAUAUAGAAGAAAUAACAAACUUAACUCGUUAUAUUAUUAUAAAUACUUAUUUGAACUAAAAGUUUAUGUCAAUGGGUAGAGCACGUGGCUUAUCUUGGAUGAUUUUUAUUUAUCUUUUCGAUUACUAUCAACUUCCUUAUGUUCAGUUCACAAGAAAAAGUAUAAUAAAAAAUAUACUACGUUAAAGGAAAACAAACUCCAUUUUUAUAUAUACUUAGUUGCUACACAAACUCCCUUCCUACUUUGACCUAUAACCAUUUUAUUCCCGCGUAGAGCCAAUAUUGCUACGGCGUAGCACUUUGCUACGAAGUCGCCUUAGGGAAGAAGGAACAAUUUAGGACAAAUGCUUCUAUUUUUUAAUACGUGUUUCGGAGUUUAUUUGUUAGUUAUUAAUCGAUAAUGAUUUUUAACUGGUAUAAGGUAGUUUUGUAUAGAGUUUUACUGGAUAUGAAAAUACUCAAAAUAUUAGAAAUUCAGAGACAUUUUUGUUAUUUAUUUCUAUAAGUUUACAAUCAAAUCGUAGGUGACGUAGUUCUAGUAAUUGAAUGCCAUUUCUAUAGAUAUGUACUUAAACAAAAAUAUCAGCGCUGCUUAUCAUACAAAAACGAUUUAUUAAUGGACUGGGGCAUUAUAAUUUAAUAGUAUUUGUUAUAAAUAUUAUCUAUAAGUCGAAUAUCGUUCUUCGAGGCUACCGCCUGUGCCUAUAUCUAAUUUCCACGAAAUGUGCGGGCUGGUGGCAAGUUCGGUGCGCCCGCGCAGCGACAUCGACCAGCGACGGCGACGCCAGCGCUGGCUGACGUCACGACACCCAAGUUGCAUGCGCCAUUUUGAUAAUAAAACAGAUAAUAAUUACCACCUAUCUAACAAGUCAUGGUCGAUAUAUUUACAUAAAUAUAUUCAUACACAACAUAAAACUAUAUGAAUAUUUCAUAGGUUACAAUUUUUCAGUUACUAAUCCGUAUUUAUUUUAUGAAUUAAGUAUUGAAUUGAACACAAAUUCUGGGUACGACUAAUUUAACGUAGCGAACGUACGAGUAUGAAUUAAUCAGCGCAUCAAAUGUAUAAAACCAUAGUUUAUCCUCCUACUUUUGUGAAUAACUCAUAACUGGGAGGAAAAUACUGUUUUAAUUUACCUAGCUCUUAAUUAAAUCGUGCAAAAUAUUGCAGGCUUAGUGCUUUAUCUCGCGGGUACGGGAAUCGCUCGAGCAUGACCACAUUAGCAUUUAUCUAUUCGUGCUAGACGCCAGACGGCUUCUUAUUCUAGCUAUUUAAUUGAGUAAUUGAAAUGGGCGUUAACAUCUCCUGUUACACUCCAUACUACUUUGCCUAAAACUAUUAUGAAAUGCAUUGGUACUUAAUCUUUUUUUAUUACUAAAAAAGUAUAAUUUACGUAAGUACCCAGUUUGAAUACUACAUAAGUAUUGUACUAUACAGUAAUAAUAUGUUUAAAAUACUGAUACAUAAUACAGUAGUCUAACCGCUAAACAAGAGAAGUUAUUUAGUAAAAUAUCUAGGCCCGUAUGUCAUUCACAAGAUUACGUCGAAAGGUCGUCACGCUGAAAUCGUGUUGUUACCGACGCGACGACAGCGCCGCGCUGCGGUGCGCGUGCGACGUUCACACUGGUUCAGACGGCCCGUUCCCGCCAAAACAGUCGCAGGCUGUGGCGCGAAGGCUCGUGAUUGGUCGGCUCGGGCGGCGGCGGCGGCGCGCGCGCAAGGCCGCCGGUUUUCCCGCGAACAAUGCCAAAUGGUGCAUUUGUCAAGGUGAGUUCGUUCACCGCCGACGCCGGGCGCCGCGCGCUCCUCCGACGGACAUUCGCCACAGCAUUCGCUCGCUUCGCGCCGAUCGAAGGUCGACGGAAGGCAACCGAGUGCUUAUUUCACUCCACACCGAAUCUACAUCCAUUAGCAUCCGCUCUUUAUUACAGGUCGGCGAUGCGCGCGCGGU